GCGAGGGUGGCAGAGCGGUCUAAUGCGGCGGAUUGCUAAUCCGUUUCCUGAAAGGGAACACGAGUUCAAAUCUCGUCCCUCGCG
rnacentral:tRNA from 1 species